CAGAUUGCAGGCUGNAACCCGCCUGCAUGAAGUCGGAAUUGCUAGUAAUGGCAGGUCAGCAUACUGCCGUGAAUACGUUCCCGGGCCUUGUACACACCGCCCGUCACACCAUGAGAGUUGGGAAUACCCGAAGCCUGUGAGCUAACGUUAAGAGGCAGCAGUCGAAGGUAGAAUCAAUGAUUGGGGUGAAGUCGUAACAAGGUACC
rnacentral:rRNA from 1 species